AGUGAACGCUGGCGGUAGGCCUAACACAUGCAAGUCGAACGGCAGCACAGUAAGAGCUUGCUCUUACGGGUGGCGAGUGGCGGACGGGUGAGGAAUACAUCGGAAUCUACUUUUUCGUGGGGGAUAACGUAGGGAAACUUACGCUAAUACCGCAUACGACCUACGGGUGAAAGCAGGGGAUCUUCGGACCUUGCGCGAUUGAAUGAGCCGAUGUCGGAUUAGCUAGUUGGCGGGGUAAAGGCCCACCAAGGCGACGAUCCGUAGCUGGUCUGAGAGGAUGAUCAGCCACACUGGAACUGAGACACGGUCCAGACUCCUACGGGAGGCAGCAGUGGGGAAUAUUGGACAAUGGGCGCAAGCCUGAUCCAGCCAUACCGCGUGGGUGAAGAAGGCCUUCGGGUUGUAAAGCCCUUUUGUUGGGAAAGAAAAGCAGCAGGUUAAUACCCCGCUGUGCUGACGGUACCCAAAGAAUGAGCACCGGCUAACUUC
rnacentral:rRNA from 1 species